rnacentral:rRNA from 1 species
GACAGAGGAGCCAAGCGUUGUCCGGAUUGACUGGGCGUAAAGCGCACGCAGGCGGCUGUGCACGUGGGGUGUGAAAGGUGGCGGCUUAACUGCCACACGCCACCUCAUACGGCACGGCUCGAGCCCGUGAGAGGUCCACGGAAUUGCCGGUGUAGUGGUGAAAUGCGUAGAUAUCAAGAGGAACACCUGCGGCGAAGGCGGGUUGCUGGGCCGACACUGACGCUGAGGCGCGAAAGCCAGGGGAGCGAACGGG